GACGAACGCUGGCGGCGUGCUUAACACAUGCAAGUCGAACGGAAAGGCCCUGCUUUUGUGGGGUGCUCGAGUGGCGAACGGGUGAGUAACACGUGAGUAACCUGCCCUUGACUUUGGGAUAACUUCAGGAAACUGGGGCUAAUACCGGAUAGGAGCUCCUGCUGCAUGGUGGGGGUUGGAAAGUUUCGGCGGUUGGGGAUGGACUCGCGGCUUAUCAGCUUGUUGGUGGGGUAGUGGCUUACCCAGGCUUUGACGGGUAGCCGGCCUGAGAGGGUGACCGGCCACAUUGGGACUGAGAUACGGCGCAGACUCCUACGGGAGGCAGCAGUGGGGAAUAUUGCACAAUGGGCGGAAGCCUGAUGCAGCAACGCCGCGUGCGGGAUGACGGCCUUCGGGUUGUAAACCGCUUUCGCCUGCGACGAAGCGUGAGUGACGGUAAUGGGUAAAGAAGCACCGGCUAACUACGUG
rnacentral:rRNA from 1 species